rnacentral:lncRNA from 1 species
GCUCUUGCAGUGUUCUCCCCGCAGGUGCUGCAUGGAGUGAGUGGCGGCAUCCACCGUGAGGAGGAGAGGAGCUCUGAUACCCUCAGGACCCGCCAGGAGGGGCAUCACGGAGGCUUCUGGACGACUUGGAGCUGUGUCCUGGGGAGAAAACCGCUCCUGUCUGGGCCCUGAGUGCUGAGGAGGAAGCUGCCAUGCACUUUUCCCUGGCAUUUUUCCUGCAUGGAGAGAGAGGUCCAAGGUGCCCUACAUCGUGCGUCAGUGCGUGGAGGAGAUCGAGCGCCGAGGCAUGGAGGAGGUGGGCAUCUACCGCAUGUCUGGGGUGGCCGCAGACAUCCAGGCACUGAAGGCAGGCUUCAACGUCAAUAACAAGGACGUGUCAGUGAUGAUGAGCGAGAUGGACGUGAACGCCAUCGCAGGCAUGCUGAAGCUGUACUUCCGUGAGCUGCCCGAGCCCCUCUUCACUGACGAGUUCUACCCCAACUUCGCAGAGGGCAUCGGAUGGCAGAGAAGGAGGCAGUCAAUAAGAUGUCCCUGCACAACCUUGGCACGGUGUUUGGCCCCACGCUGCUCCGGCCCUCCGAGAAGGAGAGCAAGCUCCCUGCCAACCCCAGCCAGCCCAUCACCAUGACUGACAGCUGGUCCUUGGAGGUCAUGUCCCAGAUCCAGAUACCUAAUAAGAUGCUGGAAUGUAAUCCCUGGACAAUCCGUGUCCUGGCAGCAUUUGGUCUUCCUCUAAGCGCCUGGCUCCGCUGUUCUCAGGAGUGGGUUCUGAAGUCUCUGGAGAACAGGAUACGUGGAGGGUUAGGAAGGGGCCAGGCCUAGAGACGGGAGACUCCCUCCCGGAGCAGGUGGAGGCACAGGACCAUUCGCUACCCCAUCUGCCGGCACCUGCGGGGGAGCCCAGGCAUUGUUUGUAAACCCUCCUGACUACCUGACUCAAAGAAAACAGAAGCAUGGAGGCCGCCAAGUAUUUUCAAGAAAUAAUCCCAUGAACGUGGCAUCACUUUUUUAGAAAGAGGGGCUUGGGGCAGGCAGAGGAGAGAAGGGAGAGCAAACUGAGAGCCAAGUUUCCAGACGGUCCUGCAGGAGGAGAGGAUGCAGCUGCGCAGAGGGAAGCAGGAUCACAUUUAAGGAAGUGUGUGGGGUCCCUGGAUGACACCAGCACCCAGUACGGCUCUGUCUGGCAACCGCUCCCAAGGUGGCAGGAGUGGGUGUCCCCUGUGUGUCAGUGGGCAGCUCCUGCUGAGCCCGCAGCUCACUGGGGAGCCUGACAGCGGGGCCAUGUGCCUGACACUCCUCUCUGCUUGUGGACCUGGCAAGGCAGGGAGCAGAAAACAGAGCCACUUGAAGGCUUUCUGUCUGCGUCUGUGUGCAGUGUGGAUUUAGUUGUGCUUUUUUCUUGCUGGGAGAGCACAGCCACCAUUUACAAGCAGUGUCACCCUCGUGGGUGGCGAGGACAGAACAGGAGCCUCUGCUCUCUGUACCUAUCUGGGCCCGGUGGGCUCCCUUGUCCUGGCUUCCAUCUCUGUCUCAGCAACCAUUCAGCCCUGCGCAGGAACACGUGUUGCUUAGAAAAGCCAAAUCCAGCCUUGUCUCUGCCUCCUCUGGUCUCAUGAUGUGCAUCUGUUACCUUGAAACUGGAAACCAGUCUAUCAAUGUCUGUGCCAAUUUUUUAUUCCCUCCCCAACCUCCUUCCCCAUACGACUUUUUAUUUAUGUAGGAUGUGUGCUGUCUAAUGAUGGGAUGACCACACUUUUCCAUGUUCUAAAAGUGCUCCUCUCCCGCAGGGUCCCAGGGCUGGUGGUUGCUUUGGGUCUACAGCUACGUCUUACCCGCCUCCUGCCUCAACAGCCUGUGUGGUGGCAAAGCCGGUGUGGGGCUGGGGAACGCAGCGUUCUCCAGGAGGGGGACCCGGCUCUCCUUCUGCAAUGCAGGCGAAGGCCUAGAUGCCAGUGUGACCUCCCACAAGGCGUGGCUUCCAGACUCCCCGGCCGGAAGUGAUGCUUUUUUGCCGUGGGCCCUGGGUUUGAAGCAGCCUGGCUUUCUCUUGGUAAGUGGCUGGUGUCUUAGCAGCUGCAAUCUGAGCUCAGCCACCUACACACCACCGUGGCCGACACUUUCAUUAAGAAGUUUCCUGAGACGA